AAUGACGACCGGAAAAUGACGACUCCAUAGAAUUCUUCUUCUUCCCAAAGAAAUUCCGCUCUAAUGCCCGACGCAACCCCCGCCGCCUCAACCCCCGCUCCGAUGCCUGAUGCAACCCCUUUCCGCCGACCUCCCCUUCACUCAGUGCUUCAAAUCUGCGCGCCAAGCCGCUCUCCUCCGCUACAGCUACUCCGAGGAUCUCUACGUCGCCGGCGAUUUGUACGACAACGAAGUCCUCACUCCUUCCGUCAUCGUUGUUCCUCGCCGCCGUGUAUUCGAUUUGAGCGACUGGAUUGCUUAAUUGUGAACUGCAAGGGAAGGCAGUGUAUCCUAGAGAGAGAGAGAGGGGAAGAAUCAGAAAGGUGCGUGGGCGGAAUGCGACUGCGAUCUGAGUUCCUAGCCAAGCCCUGCCCCUCGGAGACAAGCUCCGAAAGCUGCUGAAGUCGAGAACAAGUUUAGAAUAGAGAGUCAUGGUUUAGAGUUUGUUUCUCUGAUUUGGCAAUUGAAAUUUUGUGUUGAGAUUGCUUCUCUGGAAAUUGUCGACAGAUUGGGGUAGGAGAUGAUUGCUUCUCUGGAAAUUUUGUGAAGUGAGGAUGCUGUGUGUUUAAUUUUAUUAAUUUUAUUAAAGGUUUUAUAUGUAAUAUUAAGAACUAUAAUUAAGUGUAAUUAAUUACUAUUAGUAAUUUAAUUUAGUGUGAUUUGCAAUCA